UAUCGACACAGCUCUGUCAUCUGUGGCAAAAGCAGUCUGGACUGGUUGAAGCCGAUUGGGAAGGAUUAUUUUGGGAGUGUUUCAGUCAGCUGUGAAUCAUCAUAAUCCAUACACAGCAUAAACCUGCUCUCUGCCACCAGUACAAGGAGAUUAUCGAGGGGGAACAAGCAAUGCUUCAGUUUGAAUUGUCUGGAGCCUGGUGUUGUUGUGACCAAGGAGCUUCCACUCAGAUGGAACCAGUGCAAUGUUGACUUCCUUCCAGAGAUGUGAAAGCAUCCCUGGGACUGGACACAACACGGCAAACAUAUAUUUUUGAGAAGAUCAGGACUUUUGCAGUGAGAAGGCCAUGGAUAUUACAUGCCCUGCUCCAAAGGGCAGGACAGAAAUAUGCUCUCAGGCUAGAUUCCUUUGUUCA